UACGUAGGGCGCAAGCGUUAUCCGGAAUUAUUGGGCGUAAAGAGCUCGUAGGCGGUUUGUCGCGUCUGCCGUGAAAGUCCGGGGCUCAACUCCGGAUCUGCGGUGGGUACGGGCAGACUAGAGUGAUGUAGGGGAGACUGGAAUUCCUGGUGUAGCGGUGAAAUGCGCAGAUAUCUGGAGGAACACCGGUGGCGAAGGCGGCAUCCUGGACCGGUAUGACGCUGAGGAGCGAAAGCCAGGGGAGCAAAGCGGG
rnacentral:rRNA from 1 species